rnacentral:pre_miRNA from 1 species
AACCCGUAGAAUCGGAUUUGUGUUCUUUCUUCGCAACCACAAGCUCGUUUCUAAGGGUCUA